rnacentral:rRNA from 1 species
GAUGAACGCUGGCGGCGUGCCUAAUACAUGCAAGUCGAGCGAACAGACGAGGAGCUUGCUCCUCUGACGUUAGCGGCGGACGGGUGAGUAACACGUGGAUAACCUACCUAUAAGACUGGGAUAACUUCGGGAAGCCGGAGCUAAUACCGGAUAAUAUAUUGAACCGCAUGGUUCAAUAGUGAAAGACGGUUUUGCUGUCACUUAUAGAUGGAUCCGCGCCGCAUUAGCUAGUUGGUAAGGUGACGGCUUACCAAGGCAACGAUGCGUAGCCGACCUGAGAGGGUGAUCGGCCACACUGGAACUGAGACACGGUCCAGACUCCUACGGGAGGCAGCAGUAGGGAAUCUUCCGCAAUGGGCGAAAGCCUGACGGAGCAACGCCGCGUGAGGGAUGAAGGUCUUCGGAUCGUAAAACGCUGUUAUUAGGGAAGAACAAAUGUGUAAGUAACUAUGCACGUCUUGACGGUACCUAAUCAGAAAGCCACGGCUAACUACGUG